AUCUGGGAAAGCUCAGUUGUUUACAGCAUGAGACUCUUAAUCUCAGAGUUGUGGGUUCGAGCCCCAGGUUGGGCA